UUAAUUGAAGCCAAAAAGAGGCGUAUCACUGUUAAUGAUAUCAUUGAAUAAAUUAUCCCAAUUAAA
rnacentral:tRNA from 1 species